rnacentral:rRNA from 1 species
AAUUUAAGGGCGUACGGUGGAUGCCUUGACUUUAAGAGGCGAUGAAGGACGUGGCGUUGC